UCCCUGGAGGACUAGUGGUUAGGCCAUGGCGAUCUCACCGCCGCGGCCCGGGUUCGAUCCCCGGCCAGGGAA
rnacentral:tRNA from 1 species